rnacentral:rRNA from 1 species
UACGUAGGGGGCAAGCGUUGUCCGGAAUUAUUGGGCGUAAAGAGCGUGUAGGCGGUCCGGUAAGUCAGCUGUGAAAGUCAAGGGCUCAACCCUUGAAAGCCGGUUGAUACUGUCGGGCUAGAGUCCGGAAGAGGCGAGUGGAACUCCUGGUGUAGCGGUGGAAUGCGCAGAUAUCAGGAAGAACACCGACGGCGAAGGCAGCUCGCUGGGACGGUACUGACGCUGAGGCGCGAAAGCGUGGGGAGCGAACAGG